AGGGAACUGACUGGAAGUCUGGAAUCACCAGUUGUGACUAGUGAAAAGUGUUGUCAGAAUCCCUGUCCCCAAGCCCUCCUCAGGAAAUUAGACUCAAGCUGAACAGUAGCUUUGGGGGCUGUCACCGUGGGAAAAGUCAGGCCUUGGAUGGUGGGGGAGAACCUUGCAGCCUGGAAUGAUAAAAUGGAUGCAGUUGUACAAGUGAGUUUGUUUAUCCUUGGAUGGGGGAAGGAAAUGCGGAAGAAAAGAGUGAUGUAUCAGCAGUUGUUCCAAGUUAAAACGAAAGAGAAAGAUGACUGUCAAAGAAUUUAUGACUAUGAUAAUCGAGGGUUACUACAAGAUAUUGAAAAUCAGACAGUGAAAAUCUUG
rnacentral:lncRNA from 1 species